rnacentral:rRNA from 1 species
AUUGAACGCUGGCGGCAUGCCUUACACAUGCAAGUCGAACGGUAACGGGCCUUCGGGUGCCGACGAGUGGCGAACGGGUGAGUAAUACAUCGGAACGUGCCCGAUCGUGGGGGAUAACGAGGCGAAAGCUUUGCUAAUACCGCAUACGAUCUACGGAUGAAAGCAGGGGACCGCAAGGCCUUGCGCGGACGGAGCGGCCGAUGGCAGAUUAGGUAGUUGGUGGGAUAAAAGCUUACCAAGCCGACGAUCUGUAGCUGGUCUGAGAGGAUGAUCAGCCACACUGGGACUGAGACACGGCCCAGACUCCUACGGGAGGCAGCAGUGGGGAAUUUUGGACAAUGGGCGCAAGCCUUAUCCAGCCAUGCCGCGUGCAGGAUGAAGGCCUUCGGGUUGUAAACUUCUUUUGUACGGAACGAAAAGCCUUCUUUUAAUACAGGGGGGUCAUGACGGUACCGUAAGAAUAAGCACCGGCUAACUACGUG